rnacentral:lncRNA from 10 species
GCAUAAUCAACCAACCCCAAAACAUAGUAGCUCAAAAUAACAGUAAACUGAUUAGCCCAUGAUUCUAUGGUCAGCAAUUUUGUCUGAGCUCAGAGGUGAAAUUCUUCUCCUGGUCAUGUCUGGGGUCACUCAUUUGCCUGCUGGCACUCAUGUGCCAUUAGGAGCUAGGGUGGGCGAAGAUGGCCUGUCACAGUCCUGAUGAUUGCUGUCGGUUUUCUUCAGGUACCCCUCUUGCAACAGGGUCUCUUAUCCUCAGCAUGGCUAGGUCUGCAAUCUUCACAUGGUAGUUUCAGUGUUUGAAGAAGACAAGAACUGAAGUUGUAAAGAGUUUUGAGGUUUAGGCUCAGAACUACCACAUCACUUUCAUCAGAUUCUGUUGAUCGAAGCAAGUUGCAAAAGCAGCCCAGAUUCAAGGGUAUG